rnacentral:rRNA from 1 species
AUUGAACGCUGGCGGCAGGCCUAACACAUGCAAGUCGAGCGGAGCGGGGGACGGGUGAGUAUUGCCUAGGUAUCUGCCUGGUCGUGGGGGCUAACGUCCGGUAACGGGCGCUAAUACCGCACACUAUCAGAUGCCCCUAGGUGGGAUUAGCUGGUGGGUGGGGGAAGGGCCUACCAAGGCGACGAUCCGUAGCUCGGCUGAGAGGAUGAUCAGUCACACUGGAACUGAGACACGGUCCAGACUCCUACGGGAGGCAGCAGUGGGGAAUAUUGGACAAUGGGCGAAAGCCUGAUCCAGCCAUGCCGCGUGUGUGAAGAAGGUCUUCGGAUUGUAAAGCACUUUAAGUUGGGAGGCGUUACCAAAAGAAUAAGCACCGGCUAACUUCGUGCCAGCAGCCGCGGUAAUAC